AUAUAAACGUCGCCAAACGGAUAAAAGAGCAUGCAAGACUUAAUGUAAAUAAUAAUUCGGUGGUGAGAAAAUGUAUUUAAUUAUAUUUGUCGGUGAUUGAAGAAUUAAAUCAUUAUGAAUAAAAGAAAAUGUUCAAGAUUAUUAAAUUCUGGAAACGUUCGCCUUACGUUGAAACGAUAUGGAUGCAAUGAUGGAUGCAGUAAGACAGAAAUGUUUUAAAAUAUGGAGUCGCUGAACUUUAAAAUGAGAUGACAUCGAGAAGCGAAUGUUUUUGUCGACGAAGCUAAUGGCGGUUUGCGAAGACGACGACAGCGACAAUGGUGAUGAUGCUGAUGAUGAUGAUGAUGAUGAUGACUGAUGACGACGACGACGAAGAUAGUGGUGAAGAUGUUAUACAGUGAAAAUUAAGAUCGGGAAGAUAAGGUCGAAUAUGAUCAUCUUAUCGUUAGUGACAAUAACACUAACGAUAAAAAUAAAGACAACAUUAAAACAAAUGAUGGCGAUGAUCACAGUGACAUUGUGGAUAGUAAUGAUUCCUCUAUAAAGAAAAAAAAAGGUUGAAAGGGGUGAUGAAAUUGUUGCAAAGAGCAAAACAGUUGAACAAGACCGAAAGUAUUGUAGACUUCAAAUGUAUUCGUGAAAAAA